GAAAAAGUACGCAAGAACUGCUAACUCUUCACACCAUGCCCAACAACAUGGCUUUUUCA
rnacentral:tRNA from 1 species